AUUGAACGCUGGCGGCGUGCUUAACACAUGCAAGUCGAGCGGUAACAGGUGUAGCAAUACAUGCUGACGAGCGGCGAACGGGUGAGUAAUGCUUCGGAAUCUACCCAUUGGCGGGGAAUAACUAGCCGAAAGGUUAGCUAAUACCGCAUAAGCCCUACGGGGGAAAGCAGGGGAUCGUAAGACCUUGCACCGAUGGAUGAGCCGAAGUCGGAUUAGCUAGUUGGUAGGGUAACGGCCUACCAAGGCGACGAUCCGUAGCUGGUCUGAGAG
rnacentral:rRNA from 1 species